rnacentral:rRNA from 1 species
AGAGUUUGAUCAUGGCUCAGAACGUACGCUGGCGGCACGCCUAACACAUGCAAGUCGAACGAAGUAGCAAUACUUAGUGGCAGACGGGUGAGUAACAUGUAGGUAUCUGCCCUUUGGCCUGGAAUAACACGAGGAAACUUGUGCUAAUACCGGAUAAGUCUUUACGGAGAAAGCUUUAUGCACCAUUGGAUGAGCCUGCACUUGAUUAGUUUGUUGGUGGGGUAAUGGCCUACCAAGACUGUGAUCAAUAGCUGAUUUGAGAGGAUGAUCAGCCACAUUGGGACUGAGACACAGCCCAAACUCCUACGGGAGGCAGCAGUGGGGAAUCUUGCACAAUGGAGGAAACUCUGAUGCAGCGAUGCCGCGUGAGUGAAGAAGGCCCUUGGGUUGUAAAGCUCUUUCGUCGGGGAAGAAAAUGACU